AUUGAACGCUGGCGGCAGGCUUAACACAUGCAAGUCGAGCGGAGAUGAGGUGCUUGCACCUUAUCUUAGCGGCGGACGGGUGAGUAAUGCUUAGGAAUCUGCCUAUUAGUGGGGGACAACAUUCCGAAAGGAAUGCUAAUACCGCAUACGUCCUACGGGAGAAAGCAGGGGAUCUUCGGACCUUGCGCUAAUAGAUGAGCCUAAGUCGGAUUAGCUAGUUGGUGGGGUAAAGGCCUACCAAGGCGACGAUCUGUAGCGGGUCUGAGAGGAGGGUCCGCCAAACUGGGACUGAGACACGGCCCAGACUCCUGCGGGAGGCAGCAGUGGGGAAUAUUGGACAAUGGGGGAAACCCUGAUCCAGCCAUGCCGCGUGUGUGAAGAAGGCCUUAUGGUUGUAAAGCACUUUGAGCGAGGAGGAGGCUACUGAGACUAAUACUCUUGGAUAGUGGACGUUACUCGCAGAAUAAGCACCGGCUAACUCUGUGCCAGCCGCCGCAGUAAUAC
rnacentral:rRNA from 1 species